rnacentral:tRNA from 1 species
UUAAUUGAAACCAAAGGUAGAGGUAUGCCACUGUUAAUGGCAUUAUUGAAAAUAAUUUCCAAUUAAA